CUUCCUCACCCCUUAGAAGGGAAGAAGUUUUCCCGCUGAUACUCCUUUGGAAAUGAACACGCUACAUAGUGAAUGAAGUGGACAAGUCCUUAGCUUUCCUUGUCACUGAUGAACUGUGGAUCUGUAAGAGCCCCUUCCUAAGCCUCAUGGAGAUUCCCCAUUUCAGAUCGAGAUAAAAAGUGACUUUAGGGUCGCUCUUGGCUUCGACAGUCUUGUCUCUCUCAUGUAUCCCCUUUUGUUCCAGACUGUGCCUGUGGGGUUGUGUAACUGAGCUAUUCUAACAUCAUUAAGUAGCCCAGCAAUAAAAU
rnacentral:lncRNA from 1 species